UGAGGAAUAUUGGUCAAUGGGCGCAAGCCUGAACCAGCAAUGCCGCGUGUGGGAUGACGGGGCUCUGCCUUGUAAACCACUGUCGGACGGGACGAAAAGGGAUAUCAAUCCCUGGGACGGUACCGUCAAAGGAAGGGUCGGCUAACUACGUGCCAGCAGCCGCGGUAAUACGUAGGACCCGAGCGUUGUCCGGAUUCACUGGGUAUAAAGGGUGCGUAGGCGGCCUUGUGCGUCAGAGGUGAAAUCUCCGGGCUUAACCCGGAGGGUGCCUUUGAUACGGCGAGGCUUGAGUACGAGAGAGGAUGAUGGAAUUCCUGGUGUAGCGGUGAAAUGCGUAGAUAUCAGGAGGAACACCGGUGGCGAAGGCGGUCAUCUGGCUCGUAACUGACGCUGAGGCACG
rnacentral:rRNA from 1 species